CUGCUAGCGAGGAGUAGAUGUAGCCGUGUCGUAGGUACACCCCAGUACCGGGCAUACAGUCUUCUGUGCUGCAUAGCCUAUCACCUGCACACACACCACACAGGGAGAGAGAGAUAUGUAUACACACACAGGGAGAGAGAGAGAUGUAUACACACACAGGGAGAGAGAGAGAUGUAUACACACACAGGGAGAGAGAGAGAUGUAUACACACACAGGGAGAGAGAGAGAUGUAUACACAGACAGGGGGAGAGAGAGAUGUAUACACAGACAGGGAGAGAGAGAUGUAUACACAGACAGGGAGAGAGAGAUGUAUACACAGACAGGGAGAGAGAGAUGUAUACACAGACAGGGAGAGAGAGAUGUAUACACAGACAGGGAGAGAGAGAUGUAUACACAGACAGGGAGAGAGAGAUGUAUACACAGACAGGGAGAGAGAGAUGUAUACACAGACAGGGAGAGAGAGAUGUAUACACACACAGGGAGAGAGAGAUGUAUACACACACAGGGAGAGAGAUGUAUACACACACAGGGAGAGAGAGAUGUAUACACACACAGGGAGAGAGAGAUGUAUACACACACAGGGAGAGAGAGAUGUAUACACACACAGGGAGAGAGAGAUGUAUACACACACAGGGAGAGAGAGAUGUAUACACACACAGGGAGAGAGAGAUGUAUACACACACAGGGAGAGAGAUAUGUAUACACACACAGGGAGAGAGAGAUGUAUACACACACAGGGAGAGAGAGAUGUAUACACACACAGGGAGAGAAACAUUUGUACUUUUCGCAGAUAUCCAGAGACUUACAGUCGCUGCUUUCAAAUAAGGUAGGUAAGACAACCACUGUCAUUACAAGUAAAGACAGACAUGUUUCGUGUAAACAGAGUCCUGCUGAUCUAUCACAUUUCCAAUAGUAGAAUAUAAUAAUAGUCUGACAAAAACCAUCAGAAUCGCUAAAUCACUCAAGAGGUUCUCGUCCCAGUUCCUGACAAACAUAUGCGUAAAUCAAACGACAAUCAAAAUAAAUCACUGCCUUUAUAGUUGACAUUUC